UGUCUUUGGCCGAAUUCGUGUCUUCCCCGAACCCGCGAGCCCCCUCUUCUCGACCCCUACCCUAUUCGCCCCUCUUCUUCAUUUCUCACCGCGCCGCCCCCGUUCGCUCCCACCGGGUGUUCGCCUGCUAGCCGCUCCGGCCUCUUCCUACGAGAGUAGGCAGCCCGUGCCACCGUCCACUGCUUGCUGGCGCCGCCCUCCUCGAUCACUCCGUGGCAACGCAGGCCGCAUGUCCCAAAUCGAGAACCCGAACAAUUGGAUCCAAUCGCAGGAAGAGGAGAAAAGUAGUGAGACGGAAUAAGAAAUCAUGCAUCCUUUGAUGCGAUCCUUCGCUCAGCGUGCGGCAUUAGCCGCCGGCUGGCGACGGGGCGGCUGCGGCUCCGGGAAGAAGGGGGCGCUUCCGCUGGCUCAGCAGGAGGUGCGCGCCCAGAUGCAUGCGCUGGAGGAGCUCGCGCAGGUCCGCCCCCAUGGGCCUGGGUUUCACGAGCAUCGUUUGGAGCGGCGCCAUGUUUGGUGGUGUCCUCUUCGCUGACAUCGCCUUCAAGUUUAAGCCGCCUCCAAAGACUCUAGAGGAAUUAUGGUUAGAGGCUCGUCGUCAGGAACAAGUCUGAGGCAAAUGUAGGCUCAUGUCCGUGUCCGGGUGGUGCUGUCUCUUCCUCACAAUUAUCUGAGGCAAAUGAUAGGAAACUUGGAGCAAGAGUGUUUUUUUUGUCAGGGCUCUACUACUCUUCUUGAUACUAGUAGAAAGAUGAGUAUUGAUGUCCAGGGUGUUCGUGCCAGCAUUGUAAUAUCCUUGCAGUUUGUCUUAUGAAUAAAAGAAUUGUUUAUCACUGA